rnacentral:tRNA from 1 species
AGCAGCACUGGUGUAACGGUAGCCUGCUAGUUUGCCAUACUGGAGGAAGGGGUUCGAUUCCCCUGUGCUGCUUC